rnacentral:rRNA from 1 species
GACGAACGCUGGCGGCGUGCUUAACACAUGCAAGUCGAACGGAAAGGCCCUGCUUUUGUGGGGUGCUCGAGUGGCGAACGGGUGAGUAACACGUGAGUAACCUGCCCUUGACUUUGGGAUAACUUCAGGAAACUGGGGCUAAUACCGGAUAGGAGCUCCUGCUGCAUGGUGGGGGUUGGAAAGUUUCGGCGGUUGGGGAUGGACUCGCGGCUUAUCAGCUUGUUGGUGGGGUAGUGGCUUACCAAGGCUUUGACGGGUAGCCGGCCUGAGAGGGUGACCGGCCACAUUGGGACUGGGAUACGGCCCAGACUCCUACGGAGGGCAGCAGUGGGGAAUAUUGCACAAUGGGCGGAAGCCUGAUGCAGCAACGCCGCGUGCGGGAUGACGGCCUUCGGGUUGUAAACCGCUUUCGCCUGUGACGAAGCGUGAGUGACGGUAAUGGGUAAAGAAGCACCGGCUAACUACGUG